GUAAUGUAUUUUUCACAAAAAAACACCAAAUUUUGUGGACAGUCGAGUCUUAUAUCUCCUCGAGUCUUCCUCCGAUAUCAAAGGUCUUGGUUUAAUCGUUCUUUUAAUGGUGAAAUCGCUUAAAGAUAUUAUAACAUAGCUGAGUGAAUAUAUAUCUGUGAAAUAUAGCGGUAAAAAGUAUACCAUCGAUAAUCAUGGAGAUCGAUAAAUUGAUAAAUAGUGAUUUCACUAUAAAAGAUUAUAUAUUAAAAGGCAAAGAAGUAUCUUUAUCCACGGAAUACACGAACAUCGGAAAGUUACUUUUAGACAAAAUGAAGGCUAAACCAGACUUUAUUGGUCAGAUAGACAUUAUCACCGAAGAGACAUAUACUUUUGCCGAAAUGUUUGAUCGGACUGUAAAAUGUGCGCUAUGGUUACGUCAA